rnacentral:rRNA from 1 species
AAUCAUGGAAAAUGGGGGAAACCGUGACCCAGUCUUGCCGCGUGUAUUCUGAUUGCCAUCGAGUUGUAAAUUAAUUUUCUUAGAGAAGAAAAGGUACCGAAUAAACCGAGAAAAUGCUCACGGUAUCUCCAGAAUAAGCAUUGGCGAACUACGUGCCAGCAGCCGCAGUAAUACGUAGCGUGCAAGCGUUAAUCGGAAUUACUGGGCGUAAAGCCUGUGUUGGCAGUUCCGAAAGAGAGAUGUGAAAUCCCAGGGCUCAACCUUGGAACUGCAUUUUUAACUGCCGAGCUAGAGUAUGUCAGAGAGGGGUAGAAUUCCACGUGUAGCAGUGAAAUGCGUAGAUAUGUGGAGGAAUACCGAUGGCGAAGGCAGCCCCCUGGGAUAAUACUGACGCUCAGACACGAGAGCGUGGGGAGCAAACA